GACGAACGCUGGCGGCGUGCUUAACACAUGCAAGUCGAACGGAAAGGCCUCUUUCGGGGGGUACUCGAGUGGCGAACGGGUGAGUAACACGUGAGUAACCUGCCCUUGACUUUGGGAUAACUUCAGGAAACUGGGGCUAAUACCGGAUAGGAGCUCCUGCUGCAUGGUGGGGGUUGGAAAGUUUCGGCGGUUGGGGAUGGACUCGCGGCUUAUCAGCUUGUUGGUGGGGUAGUGGCUUACCAAGGCGUUGACGGGUAGCCGGCCUGAGAGGGUGACCGGCCACAUUGGGACUGAGAUACGGCCCAGACUCCUACGGGAGGCAGCAGUGGGGAAUAUUGCACAAUGGGUGGAAGCCUGAUGCAGCAACGCCGUGUGCGGGAUGACGGCCUUCGGGUUGUAAACCGCUUUCGCUCAUGACGAAGCUUUGUGUGACGGUAGUGGGUAAAGAAGCACCGGCUAACUACGUG
rnacentral:rRNA from 1 species